GUCCUCGUAGCUCAAUUGGAUAGAGCGCUGGCCUCCGAAGCCAGAGGUUACAGAUUCGAAUUCUGUCGAGGAUA
rnacentral:tRNA from 1 species